AUCUUCAGGGCAGGGUGAAAUUCCCGAUCGGCGGUAAAGUCCGCGUGCGCGCAGCGCAUGAUUUGGUGUGAUUCCAAAACCGACAGUAUAGUCUGGAUGAAAGAAGACA
rnacentral:ncRNA from 1 species